CCUUACCAACCCUUGACAUCCUAGGACAACUCCAGAGAUGGAGCCUUCCUUCGGGACCUAGUGACAGGUGCUGCAUGGCUGUCGUCAGCUCGUGUCGUGAGAUGUUCGGUUAAGUCCGGCAACGAGCGCAACCCACAUCCUUAGUUGCCAGCAGUUCGGCUGGGCACUCUAGGGAAACUGCCCGUGAUAAGCGGGAGGAAGGUGUGGAUGACGUCAAGUCCUCAUGGCCCUUACGGGUUGGGCUACACACGUGCUACAAUGGCAGUGACAAUGGGUUAAUCCCCAAAAACUGUCUCAGUUCGGAUUGGGGUCUGCAACUCGACCCCAUGAAGUCGGAAUCGCUAGUAAUCGCGUAACAGCAUGACGCGGUGAAUACGUUCCCGGGUCUGUACACACCG
rnacentral:rRNA from 1 species